rnacentral:rRNA from 1 species
CAGCAGCAGCCGCGGGAAAACGAGGGGUGCAAGCGUUAUUCGGAUUGAUUGGGUGUAAAGGGUGUGCAGACGGCUUAUUAAGUCACUUGUUAAAUUCUUCGGCCUAACUGAAGGUCUGCAAGUGAUACUGAUGAGCUAGAGGGUGGAAGAGAGAAGUGGAAUUCUCGGAGUAGCGGUAAAAUGCGUAGAUCUCGAGAGGAACACCAAUGGCGAAGGCAGCCCCCUGGGCCAAUACUGACGCUCAUGCACGAAAGCGUGGGGAGCAAACAGGAUUAGAUACCCCAGUAGUCCCUGUCUCUUAUAC